GAUGUCGAUCGUUACGCCUAUUUCACAUGUUGGUCUAGAAAUUUCAAAAAGUGUACGAGUUUGGGAACACUGGUUGCUAUAAAGUUGUGUUUUGUUUUUUUUUCCUUUCACUCCGAUUUUUUCUCAGUUGAAAGAAAAAUCAAUCUUGGCUUUUCCUCUGAUAAAUCGUACUUUUCUGAAGAUUCUCAGCUCGUUGAUUCGAACAGCAAGUUUGUGAAACACCUAUCAUGACUCAGGAUUUGCAUCCGUCGUGGAAUUUGGCUCACCUGAACACGACCGUGGAAAUGCCCGAUGAGGGCAAGUGGUGUCGUGCCCAGAACAGCCGCUCGUCCGUUGUCUUACUGUGGAUAAAGCAGAAGACUGAUAGGAGGCUGCGACGGGAAAGCAAGGAGACGUUUUUUAUGGACAUGGAAGAUGCGCUCUAUGCCGUUGCCAAGAUAUGGAGCGUACCAGAUCCGUGCGGAUAUGGGGUCAUGCGGGUGGGCGAGUUGGCUAAGGAGGACAGGGGAGUGCGUCCCGCUAUUUUCUACAGUAGUCGGCGAUAUGCUUCGUCGGAAGCGGUUGCCAGCCUUUGGUUCAGCGAUGACGACCAUGCCGCAGAUCCGAUACUUGUUCAGCGCCAUCAGGUGACAGAAUGGUUCAAAGCUUCGGAGGUGACUUACAUAUACGAAUGUGACUCUGCUGGUGAAUAUCUGCUAAAAUGCGGCGAAGACGACAAAGACUACCAUUUGGCCGCGUGUGCCCCAGGUGAGAAACUUCCGAUCGAUGACCAGUUGAGUCUCGCAAUUGCCGAUCCGGUGAAAGAGGCCUUCAAUUGGCAUUGUGCGCAGUUGAACCUAAACUGUGCGAAGCUGAUUAUGCCUCCCGGAGACAUUGCCGACCGACUGAUGGUGUGCGGUCAGCUGGAUUGGGUUAUGACCUUGGUUCUGGAUGCCAUCGGAAGGGACUCGUUGCCACAGCCGCUUUAUAUGCAACUGUUCCGUGGGGACAUUCUGACCGGGACCAUCUUCCGGCGGUUUCUUCUGGCGCAAAGGAUUUUGAGAAAGGCCGGAGUUAAUCCUCAGUCACGACCUGCCCUUCCGGAUUGCAGCACCCAUCGACUGUGGGCCCUGUGGGAUAAGAUAAUGGAUCUAACGGUGACGUUGGUGGAAAGGCAAGGCGAGAGGACCAACGCAGUUAUUGAAACGUUCUUUCGAAGCAUCCUGGAUGGCCAGUAUAAGUAUCCCGAUCUGCUGCUCUCCGCGCUAACUCUAUCCCCCAACUGCCCCAAUGCGUACGACUUACUAAAAGCUGACUGGGGCAAGUUCAACGACCACGCUUUCCUGGAAGAGUCCAUCGUAAUGCACGCUGUCCGAAUACUGCAAAGUGAUAGGAGACCACUACGGCAACCGACGACGAAUUUCCUGGUCGAACUAGUCGUAGGAACGCCCACAGUGCAACAUUGGCUAAAACCGACUAUCCAGUUGAACCUGCUUAACCAUCUUGAAGCGGAUACAGAGCCUCGUUAUAUUACUCAAACUCUCUACUUGCAAUCGCUUUUGGAAAGAAAGUCAACUGAUGCCGAUUCUGCGCCACCACAGACGCUAACCACAAGAUGUGUCGAGCUCCUGAACCACCAGGACCCGGAAGUGCGCCUGUGGUCGGCUCUAUUGGCGAAGAAACUGUCCGCAGAAAAGUGUCCAACUUUGCAAACUCGUUUGGAAGAACUUUCAACCGAUGCCGAUCCCAAAGUCCGCGCUGCAGCAGUAGAAGCUUGGAACACAUCGUACGGUCAACAAACGGAAACGGAACAGAAAGAUAUUCUCAUCGCCAAACUACUGCCCGUGGCGAACGCUAACUCGAGUGCCUUCGUCCGCCGGGAGCUUGCUUAUGCUCUGAACGUGAUCGCAGCUGAUCGAACACCGGAAUUGAUCUCGCUAUGCAAACAGGAAACAUCCAAACCGCCAGAAUCAUCAAAAUCCAAGGGAAAAGCAAAGUCCAAGAAGGGAUCAACCUCGGCGUCAACAUCCAAGUCGUCGGAUUCGGUCCUGGCCAAAGCGUGGCGCCUCAUGGUUGCCUUGCAAACCGACCCCGAUGCGGAAGUGGCCACCGGCAUGCAAUCCGUAGUGGCAUUUGUCAGAGGGUGCGUGGCCCAGCAGGAAGCAGCCGCUGCAGGUGGAAAGCGAAAGAAAAAGGCCCCCGUCGCUGGUAGUUGUCCACUCGCGGAGAGGGUGCCCCUGCAGCGUCGAUUGUGUCACACGCUUGUGGAGAUCGAUGAAGCCGUCGGCGGUGAGGAAUCAAAAGAGAACGAUCCCCAGGAGCUGAACGUCGUCAGCCUACCCGUAGGACCGCGCAAUCCCGCGUUGCCCCUGCUGAAUCAUCAGUUGAGAAGUUUGAAGGUGAAGGAGGCACCGGAAAUGGUUUGGUUCGGAAUUAGUCGGCAGAUGUUUACCGUUUUCAAAGACCACGUUACUUGGCAAGACCUUACUGAAGACACCGGCAAACCCCAUAUUCUGAAGCGUCCACUGGUACCUGGAUCACUGUUCAAAGUCACCGCCCUGCUGCCUGGCAUUCCUCUUCUCCCGCCAUCUCUUCUGAUCGGCUACAACGAUGGAUCAAUCCGUUUGUGGCAAAUCCAAACCCCCCAAACCGAACCGACCCUGGUGACCACCUGGCAAGGACUUCACGACUGCGGCGAUAUCAGUCCAUCCGCUAAAACACACGGCAUUUCGAUGACCUCCAUUGGGGAUCGAAAGCUGAUCAUCGGCGGUGACGCAAAGUACCUGCGUCAGUGGGAUCUGGUCACCGAAUUGGCCUUGGGAGAUGUGCCCGUAGGAACCGAUCAGGCCGUAACGGCCCUGGCCAGCAACGGCGUGUACAACAUCGCUGCCGGAUUGGAAGGCGGAACCGUUCGGUUGUUUGACACGCGAGCCGAAGCGGAAGGGAAAGUGGCCGUUGGACCGAAGCACUCGAACCCGGUCCGGGCGGUCAGUCUUCGCGCGGAUAAUCUGAAUAUGAUUAGUGUGUGCCGCGGGGGCAAUGUCCACCUGGUUGAUUUGCGUAAAAUGAUUCCGGCGGUGAAGAAGUGGUCCUGGUCAGGAGUUCCGGCGGAUGUGGCCAUUCACCCGAUUUUGGAUUUGAUGGCUUUUGGAGCGGCGCAGUCGCUGGAGGUUUACUCGACCGGUGGCGAACAACAGUGCGGUUCAGAGGAAGGAGCGGUGUGCGUAGAUUUCCACCCGACGGAAGCAGUGCUGGCGGCCGGAAAUGCUCGGAACAAAGUCGUGCAGCUCUACGGAGAGUGGGCCGAAUGAUUGGUGGGUAGGUAAGCCACAAAGUUGAUUGGAAUUCUUUCAACUGAUUUUAAUCCUUCUCCUUACGAUAAUAUACAUAACUGACUUGUUUUUAUUCUUCAUUCAAAGAUAGUUUUUUGUCGAUUACAGUUAGAGAUUGCAUAGCCUAAUCAGACAGAAUUUUAUUUGGGAUAAUAUUACAUAUAUACAGGCGAGUUGAACUUACGCAUAACACACACAUUUUUGUUCCUUUUUUUUACUAUGUGUGUCUUCAUUUGUUUCAAUAAUCCCUGCUGCCAUUUUAUUCACCUAAAAUUUCA